rnacentral:rRNA from 1 species
UACGAAGGGGGCUAGCGUUGCUCGGAAUCACUGGGCGUAAAGGGUGCGUAGGCGGGUCUUUUAAGUCAGGGGUGAAAUCCUGGAGCUCAACUCCAGAACUGCCUUUGAUACUGAGGAUCUUGAGUUCGGGAGAGGUGAGUGGAACUGCGAGUGUAGAGGUGAAAUUCGUAGAUAUUCGCAAGAACACCAGUGGCGAAGGCGGCUCACUGGCCCGAUACUGACGCUGAGGCACGAAAGCGUGGGGAUCAAACAGGAGUUAGA